CCUAGAUUUGUUGCGCGCCCAUCGGCAUGUUUUGUGGAUAGCAACUCGGCUAGCAGGCAUUGAUCUAUGAAAGGUGCAAUAAAUGCCCUUGCGAUUGUUUGCACUACUGUGUUGUCGUUCCUUUGUCCCAAGAGCACGGAGGAGAGCCCCACAUCUGGCUGCCCAACGUGGACCUCUUGGGGCAUUGGACAAUAGAUUUAACAGUUUUGCUUCGUUCGAGACCUUUGUUUGAACCGAAGCGUGGGCCUAGCGUGGAUUUUGAUCGCUAGCGUCAGCGGCGUGCUUUCUUGAGCGAGGCGACGGUGGCUGUAGUGUGUUUGAACCACGACCAGCUUUAUUACUUCGCGACCUGUUCACUGGCACCGCCUCCGUAGCCCCCGAUUUUUUACUGCUUGUUUAGUUCAUUCUUAGUUCGCCCGACCGCCGCUGCUCUCUGUGGCGCCACAACUUGCCCCCACGCCGAGUGCCGGCUGGCGUAGCGGUAGCAGUGGCGGCUUCUUCGUUGUGUUUUGUGCGCGUAUGAACACUGUGUUUCCGGCUGCUCUGAUUGCUGUCCGCAUACGUGCCAAGAACACAAUUACUGCUGAGAGCCUUUACAUUUCGUAGGCCGUAAAAAUCAUCGCCCGUGAUGGUGUAUUGCUGCGUUCCGCUCUGCAAAUCGAGCUGGCGCACAGCGAAGGGUAUCACAUUUCACGAGUUUCCUGUAACACAAUUGCGGACCCAGUGACUCAAGAGAAUUUCUCACCAAGCAGAAGGUGCCCCUCAACAAAGCCUUCGAGCCAGCACACUGGCAAUGAUUGCUGGCUUCUUGGUCAGAGCCGUGCAAGACUACAUUGCAUGUGAGGGCUGUCUCAUUAAUUUGAGGGCACCAGCCUCUCAGUCUACUACUACUGCCAUCAUAGCAGGCACGAGCCGGGGAGGGCUAUCGUACCCUAUCUUGGCUUUCGUAGGGUUCGUCAGCCGCCUGGAAGGUGCUGCAUCAAGUGUGGCUCCUGUGCUUGUUAGGGGGCCAAUGCCGCUUAAGAAGUUUGCAGACCUAGUGCUGCCGUCACUUAUAAAGAAUCAGUUGUUUGUGUGCUUGAAGGACACCACAGAGCCUCACAGAAGGGCCCAGCUAAAGCUGAUUGUCCACAAGUUUAUGAGGCCAUUUUUGUCCAAUUCUGCCUCUGAUCUCACAGAAGAGCACGCCAAACGAAAAUUAAUUAAUGCCAAACCGAAAUUAAGAAAGAUCCUAAAAGUGUAAGAAUCUGGCUGACCUGAAAUAAAGUUCUUGCCACGACCGGCUAUUGUGUCUGGCAAACAAGCUUUUUUAGUCUGGUUUUAUUCAUUUUUCAUGUAGAGUGCGUCUUGAAACGAUUAACAAUCGGGUAAAUGCUUCUGAAAACGAGUAAGUGUGCAUGGCGUGCUUUUUGUUGUAAAUUGGCCGAAAGUAGCGCGGCUUCGCCCUGGGAUGCUGCUAGGUACAGAGCAGAAGCAAUCGUGUUGAGAUUGUGCAGCUGUGCGCGAAAAAAAAAAAAACGCCGCUCGAGUAGCAUCAAAGCCGCGGCCACCACUACAACCGCUCUUUGAGCUUGUUUUAGCUGCGAAACUGCUGCGCUGAGAAAGAAAAAUAUUACUGCUAUCAGCCUUUAGUCGGGUACAGCUUUUUGCGACUAUGCAGGGGAAUUGCUACGAGCGUGAGACGACUGCUUCUGCGCUGUUCUCGCGCGCUCAUGAGCCAGAGACUUAGGCGUGUUAGCUGACAGCUCGCGCUCUUAACUACCACUGUGUACAGAAAGCUGUCCACGAUUAUUGCAUCUGAUGAAUAUUACCACAUAUUUGCGGUGCGUGCUUAAAAAACGAUGCGGUUUAAGUUGGCAUACCUGCAACAUGGUAACGCAAGCGUACUGAAGCUAACAGAAGUGUACGGCAAGCGCUGCCGGAAUGAGGGUAACUUGUAGCACCACCUGUUGAGGCGCGCCGUCCCUCCUGAACAGCCACGUGAUAUUUACGCGGACACGCGCAGCCAUAGGAGCCGGCGUAGUGAGCAGGUCGCGAGUAAUAAAGUCGGUCGUGGUUUGAACAUGUCAACGUGCUAAGCCUUUUCGCAAGUGUUUUUUUUAUGACAUUCGUCAGGACGAGAGCCACGUGGUCUGCAUCCUGGGAGAGCGAGGCAUAGCGCCCGCGGAGCAUAUUGGCAAGCCUGAAGCGAGUGAGUACGAAAGCCUCGAGGGUGGUCCGAAUUUCUUAUGUAAAUAGCUUCUUCUAUCUCUUUGACUCUGAUGAAGUCACGGCUCUGGGAGCCGAGUGGCCGUGGGCCACGGGUGCCACUACGGGCUAACUGGUAUUGUGGCCUGGCACCGGGCGCUCCGACACCGUCUGGCACGGUGGGUGCGGUCAACUCGGAUGCUGUGUGCACCGAACGGAGUAGAACCACCUCACAGAGCUGACGUCUCCUCGUGGCUGCCUGUUUUGCGCCCAUUUUGGGUGUUGUUUGUUGGAUGCCGGUUGUUGUCAGAGUAGCGAUGCUUUAGGCCUAAGGCUUUACGAAGCUGCCUGUUGCAUGUGGAGGGACACAACCCGGUGGACCGUGGCGUUGAGGUGUUGCACUUUGCGUCCCUCAUUCUAGUUAGCCUCGCACGAAUUGAAAUUACUCGUUCGACUCAAGAAAGCAAGCUUCGUUCACGUGAACUUAGCAUCUGAGUAGCUGCCCGAUCUUUUGCUGGCCGAGUUGAACAUGUUGAACAGGCGAUGCGCAUGCACAAUUUCUCUCCCUUGCACUACUUUAGUGUUUGCCGAGUGUGUUGAGUGUACGCAGCGUGAUUGGAGUCACCCCUGGCUUGCUGUCACCUGCACAUCGUCUGCGCUGCUGCCCCGAACUACGAUCGAGUCACCCGGGCGAUGGUGAUGCUGUGGCCAGUGCAGCGCAGCGACUUCGGCCGCCUCCUGCAUCCAGCUCACAACCCUCGGCGGCGGACAAAAGAGCCGGCGGUCACCGACAGCUACAGCGGCUCUUCCUAGCAGGGCGCGAGCGACACUUGCUCGUACCGGCUACUGCAUCGUCGUCUCCGGAGUCCUGGCCUGUAAUCGUGCCGUCGAGUCUACAAAGCUGCUGCUGUGACCGGUGGACGCCAGCGGUGUACCCACGGACAAUGUCGGCUUGCAUGCUAUGAACAGCCUGUGGACAUUUCCUCAGAGCGGCCACUGUUGCAUGUACUAUCUUGUUCGCAAAGCACGGAUUAAUGUUAGACCGUGUCACAUGUUUCGCCAGAAUAAGAAGUGAUUUAAGGUUGGGGGGAUGUGGGGAUGCGCGACUCUCACGCAUCCCCUGAUAUGUUGUUUUCCCGCACGGCUCGCGUGGCUUGGUGCCUGCGGCGGUCGAUGUGCUUGAAGCGCAGUGCGAGAGAUGGCACGAGUGUUGCGCUGCUGACGCCGCCGAGAGGCGGGGUUACUUGGGUGCCAAGAGACAAGACGCGAGGUCUUUCCCCGGCGUGGACGUCCCGCGCGUGCGCGCCGACCCAUGCUUCUGUGAGACCGUCUCGCGUGGCCGCCUUCAAACACGCCACCGUUGGAGUGACCGUACACGCGAACGACCAGGCGUUGGGUUCCAGCAUGGGGCGAACAUAUUCACUCGCUAUCCGGUCGCGGUGAGUCGGACUUCCUAGAUUUGUUGCGCGCCCAUCGGCAUGUUUUGUGGAUAGCAACUCGGCUAGCAGGCAUUGAUCUAUGAAAGGUGCAAUAAAUGCCCUUGCGAUUUUUGCACUACUGUGUUGUCGUUCCUUUGUCCCAAGAGCACGGAGGAGAACCCCACAAGCUAAGUCAUGAAUUGCCAAAUAGCUUAUCACGACGCCUACAGCUAUAAACAUAAACUCUGUGAAUUAUCUAGUUCUCCCAGGACAUCAUUAAAACAAGCAUAUAAUGUUUUCAAGUGCUUCUAGUUACACUAGUUCCCUCGCUGAAAAAAGUUGCAGAGCAAUGUUGGAAGCAACAUGAACAUUUAGCAAAAUAUUCAUUCUGCUGAAGAAGCUGCCCAUGUACCAUUAGAAUUGAAGAUUAUAUUACUAAAUUUUUCUUUAAAGGGCCCCUCACCAGUUCUGGACAUUUUGAGCUGACAAGCGCAUCGCAUACAAUGUGUGCCAACGAUUUUGUUUCAAAUUACACUGCUACGCACCGCGGAAAGGUAUGAAAUUUCAAUCUGAACGCCAUUUUCCCUUCUCAUGGCCACUGCGCUACAAGCCAGAUGGUGACGUACUCGCGUCCCUGCGCUUACGUACUCUGGUCCACAGUGUGACAUCGCUCGUGGUGACACGUGACUUCGAAAAUUAUUCAAGGCACCAUCUGUUAUCUGUGUGAUCUGCUGGUUGAAUUGACAAAUUAAGUUUAGAGAAAUAAAACACACAAAUGGAA